UACGUAGGUGACCAGCGUUGUCCGGAUUUACUGGGCGUAAAGAGCGCGCAGGCGGUCGUUCAAGUCGAGUGUGAAAGCCCCCGGCUCAACUGGGGAGGGUCAUUCGAUACUGAUCGACUGGAAGGCAGGAGAGGGAAGCGGAAUUCCCGGUGUAGUGGUGAAAUGCGUAGAUAUCGGGAGGAACACCAGUGGCGAAAGCGGCCACCUGGACUGCACCUGACGCUGAAACGCGAAAGCUAGGGGAGCGAACGGG
rnacentral:rRNA from 1 species